UGGGGAAUAUUGGACAAUGGGCGCAAGCCUGAUCCAGCCAUGCCGCGUGAGUGAUGAAGGCCCUAGGGUUGUAAAGCUCUUUCACCGGUGAAGAUAAUGACGGUAACCGGAGAAGAAGCCCCGGCUAACUUCGUGCCAGCAGCCGCGGUAAUACGAAGGGGGCUAGCGUUGUUCGGAUUAACUGGGCGUAAAGCGCACGUAGGCGGACUAUUAAGUCAGGGGUGAAAUCCCGGGGCUCAACCCCGGAACUGCCUUUGAUACUGGUAGUCUUGAGUUCGAGAGAGGUGAGUGGAAUUCCGAGUGUAGAGGUGAAAUUCGUAGAUAUUCGGAGGAACACCAGUGGCGAAGGCGGCUCACUGGCUCGAUACUGACGCUGAGGUGCGAAAGCGUGGGGAGCAAACAGG
rnacentral:rRNA from 1 species